rnacentral:rRNA from 1 species
UACGAGGGGGGCGAGCGUUUGUUCGGAAUUAUUGGGCGUAAAGGGCUCGUAGGCGGUCUGUCACGUCGGGAGUGAAAACACGGGGCUUAACCCUGAGCCUGCUUCCGAUACGGGCAGACUAGAGGUAUGCAGGGGAGAACGGAAUUCCUGGUGUAGCGGUGAAAUGCGCAGAUAUCAGGAGGAACACCGGUGGCGAAGGCGGUUCUCUGGGCAUGUCCUGACGUGAGGAGCGAAAGUGUGGGGAGCGAACAGG